rnacentral:tRNA from 1 species
GGGCCCUUAGCUCAGUUGGUUAGAGCAUCUGACUCAUAAUCAGAGGGUCGCAGGUUCAAGCCCUGCAGGGCCCA